GCAACUUGUUCUUUUCCCUUAUUUCACAGGAACUGGCUCGUGCAACAGAUAACGGAAGGCGGAUUGUCCAGGAUUGUUCAGCAGGGAAACGUGAUCCUCACGAAACACGUAACUCCAAGGGAGAGCAGGGUGUGUUCAGAGAGGCACCAUCAGGCUGUGCAUGUGAAGGUAAAACCCAGAGGGGAAUAGAGCAUUGCUCAUAAUGCUCCUCAGCAGCAUCUGGGAUGUGCCAGGCAUCUGUGAGACACGGAUCCAUGCAAAAAGCAGCCCGUAACGGCUGGAAAUCCUACCUCCAUUGGACGCAGCUGCAAAUCCCAAUUUCCGUUCUUUAUAGAACUACAAUGAAGCUCUACUAUGCCAGUUCCUCUGCCUCCUAAAUGCAUGCAUUCGCUUUUCAGACCCUUCAUUUCUGCCCCCUGUUAUUCCUCUCUCCUGGCCCCAUAACUAUUCUAAAGCAUGGAAGAGCAAUUAAUCAUGACUGGAAUACAGUACAGACAUGCUUCCGUGCUUGCAAGGAACCAAAGAAGCGACCUUGGAUCAAAGGAGAAAAUUCUUGUAUCUCGCUUGGCAGUGCCCCAACUGCUUGGCGGCAGCUUGUCAGGGUUUGAGACAAGUGUCUUCUCCAGGCCAAGCACAGACUAAGGCUGAGAUGUUCUGCAUGAGCUUGCAGAACGUGUUUCCCCAGGUACGGAAGACGAACGGCCUUUUCUAUAUUCACAGCGCAAAACCUCGCAAGAGAAGGAUGAAAGGUGGCUGCUUGUUAAUGUCAGCCAGCUGUCAGCAAGAGGCGAAGGAUCGCUUGUUCCAAACUUGAAGACCAGGCCAGCCAGAGAAAGGCCAAUGGACGAAAACCAGGGUCACCCCUGCCCCUCCAAGUUGCAGCCAGGCAAAGUGGGAGGAAGGACCUCCAAGAGCCAUCCCUGGCCAACUCCACCUAAAAGAGAGAGGUAUUCAUGCCACUCACAACAACCCCCUAACAUACAAGGAGGCGCAUGGAAGUAUCAAUCUACGACACGUUCCUUAUUGAACCCAGAUGUUAGAAGUUCAGCUCAAACACAGUUACUCGCACUCACUAGUAAGGCCAGGGGUGCAGAACCAAGGUCCAGAGGCCGAACUAGCAGAGGCCAAACUAGAUGUAAAGACUGCUUUGAUUAAUUUCUGGCUGCUUCUGACUGGGGCUUACACACAACCUAUGCAGAGAAGGAAGUAAAUACUGUCCCACCAAGCUUUACACUUCAGCUAAAUAGAUUUUGGUGGGUGACAGAGGGAGAAACACGGCUAGCUCAUCUUGUGUCUGGGCAGCCCCAGUCUCCUGGACUCCCUCCCACCAAAAGGCCCCCCUUCCAAGGUCAAUUUCCAACAUCAGAGAAGCAGCCAGCUCCAUUCUUUCCACCUUGGCUCCAGUGUGGGGAUUCCCAGCUCCUAGGCUGGUGUUCUCACGCUCUCUCCAACCUUGGAUCUGGGAAUAUAUGGUCCCCAGACUAUGCCUAAGGGCAAACGACCAGGCUUUUAAUGGCUUAAUCCUAUAGAAACGGGAAAUUAAUGCAGAACCAAGCAAGGAAUAUAUAAAUGGAGCUGUCUGCAUUGCGUUUCAGACAAAUGGGAGGGGUGAUUAAAAAAAAAAAAGAUUUAAGAAGAAAACAAAGAGUAUGUACACCGGGUACCUUUACAAAUGGAUCAAGCCACAUCGUUAACAAGAUGAAGGCACCUUGAGCCAAUUUCUCCUGCCUGAAAGGAUUGAUAGCUCCCCUCUGGCAGAAUGCCACACAUUUCCUUCCCUGGCUGAUCAGGCUGCUGAAUGCAAUUAAGCCCUGGAAAAAUGCUAUUCAUACCACAUGUCUGCCUGAAGAACUGUGUGAUUGGUUUUAUGCAAGGUGGAGGUCCAUCUCUCCCAGCUGGGCUCAUUCAACAGCAUGUGAUUUACAUUAAAACAAAUUUAUGGCA